GGUUCGGUGGUGUAGUGGUUAUCACGUCUGUCUCACACUUCAAUGAAUGAGGAGUGCACAGGAGGUCCCCGGUUCGAGACCGGGUCGAAUCA